UGCCCUGUGGACUCAGUUCUGG
rnacentral:miRNA from 2 species